rnacentral:rRNA from 1 species
CCUACGGGCGGCUGCAGUAGGGAAUAUUGCACAAUGGGCGCAAGCCUGAUGCAGCGACGCCGCGUGAGCGAUGAAGGCCUUCGGGUCGUAAAGCUCUGUCCUAAGGGAAGAAUAAUGACGGUACCUUAGGAGGAAGCCCCGUCUAACUACGUGCCAGCAGCCGCGGUAAUACGUAGGGGGCGAGCGUUAUCCGGAAUCACCGGGCGUAAAGGGUGCGUAGGCGGCCCUGCUAGUCAGGCGUUAAAUACCUCGGUUAAACCGAGGUCAGCUCUUGAAACUGUAGGGGUUGAGUGCAGGAGAGGAGAGCGAAAUUCCUAGUUUAGAGGUGAUAUGCGAAGAUAUUGGGGGGAACACCAGUGGCGAGGGCGUCUGGCUGGACUGCAACUGACGCUGAGGCACGAAAGCGUGGGGAGCGAACAUGAUUAGAUAACCGAGUAGUC